AGUGAACGCUGGCGGUAGGCCUAACACAUGCAAGUCGAACGGCAGCACAGUAAGAGCUUGCUCUUACGGGUGGCGAGUGGCGGACGGGCGAGGAAUACAUCGGAAUCUACUUUUUCGUGGGGGAUAACGUAGGGAAACUUACGCUAAUACCGCAUACGACCUACGGGUGAAAGCAGGGGAUCUUCGGACCUUGCGCGAUUGAAUGAGCCGAUGUCGGAUUAGCUAGUUGGCGGGGUAAAGGCCCACCAAGGCGACGAUCCGUAGCUGGUCUGAGAGGAUGAUCAGCCACACUGGAACUGAGACACGGUCCAGACUCCUACGGGAGGCAGCAGCGGGGAAUAUUGGACAAUGGGCGCAAGCCUGAUCCAGCCAUACCGCGUGGGUGAAGAAGGCCUUCGGGUUGUAAAGCCCUUUUGUUGGGAAAGAAAAGCAGCAGGUUAAUACCCCGCUGUUCUGACGGUACCCAAAGAAUAAGCGCCGGCUAACUUCGUG
rnacentral:rRNA from 1 species